rnacentral:rRNA from 1 species
UACAGAGGGGGGCAAGCGUUGUUCGGAAUUACUGGGCGUAAAGGGCGCGUAGGCGGCCCACUAAGUCGAACGUGAAAUCCCCAGGCUCAACCUGGGAACUGCGUCCGAUACUGGAUGGCUUGAAUCCGGGAGAGGGAUGCAGAAUUCCAGGUGUAGCGGUGAAAUGCGUAGAUAUCUGGAGGAAUACCGGUGGCGAAGGCGGCAUCCUGGACCCGGCAUUGACGCUGAGGAGCGAAAGCCAGGGGAGCAAAGCGGG